rnacentral:lncRNA from 1 species
GUUUGCUUUAAUGUCUAUUAAAUGUCUACAUUUAGAGUCUGUUAACUAUUUUUUCUUCCUAGUCUUCUAGUAAAAUUGGUGCUCCAAGAAGAUACACACGUUGGCCAUGUGGAUUCUGCUAUCUCCUGCUUGGAUCUCAGCCUGGAUCUUGUUGUAUGCAAGUUUGAGAAGCAUAGAUUAGCUACAGAUUUCUUCAUUAAAACUUUCCCCCAAAGAGGAAUGCAUACGUCUAGCAAAUACCCCACCAAGUUAAAGCUGAGAGAUGGCCAGGAGAAGUCGAAGGGGGCUUUCAAGAAGGAUCUAACGAAGGCUUGUAAGAAGAACCUCCCUACCAAUGAAGUCAACAAGCCUGUCUUCAUUGGAAGCCACCUUUCCUAG